rnacentral:lncRNA from 1 species
CGAUUUCUGUUCUUCAGAAAGAUGGAAAAAUCGAAUCAAAUUGAACUAAUUCGGUUCUUCGAUUUCUGUUCUUCAAAAAGAUAAGGAAAAAUCGAAUCAAAUUGAACUAAUUAAUCAAACUGAACUAAUUCGGUUUUUCGAUAUCUGUUCUUCACAAAGAUAGAAAAAUUGAAUCAAAUUGAACUAAUUCGUUUUUUCGAUAUCUGUUCUUCAGAAAGAUGGAAAAAUCGAAUUAAAUUGAACUAAUUAAUCAAAUUGAACUAAUUCGGUUUUUCGAUAUCUGUUCUUCAUAAAGAUAGGAAAAAUUGAAUCAAAUUGAACUAAUUCGGUUCUUUAAGUUUUGUUCUUCAUAAAGAUGAAAAAAUCGAACCAAAUUGAACUGUGAUUCGGUUCUUCAGUUUCUGUUCUUCAUAAAGAUGGAAGAAUCGAACCAAACUGAACUAAUUCGAUUUUUCAGUUUUUGUUCUUCGGAAACAUGAAAAAAUCGAACCAAACAGAACUACUUCGCC